rnacentral:lncRNA from 1 species
UACGAUGUUUCGAAGUCUGCUACCUUAAAUCGCAUGUAUUAUGUUUGGUAGUGUUGUUUGGUCUCAAAGGUAACUGGCAAAACCACCUAUCUGAGGGGUAUAGAUGCGUUGCCCGAGACGAUCCCAUAGAACGAAGAGUUUGUUGGGGUGAGCAUAUCGGUGACAUUGAGGCUCAUCUCCUUCAAUGUCUUGGUGAACAGGAUGUUGAGACCAAUACUGCUGUUGAUGAGUACUUUAGUAAGUUUGUGGAGCCAGCGACAACUGGGUCCAGGAUGAGGGGAUACUGUCCUGAGUCUGAGAAACUAGUCCAUUAGUCCUUCCUGGAGAAGGUAAUUGGCACUUCAGACCAUUUGAGGAAUGUUGAUGUCGCAGGUUCAAUGGACAUUAUCUCUCGAAGAGUGAGGUUCUGGGACCGCUUAGUAGCAGUACCCGAGCUUCCGCCAAAGAUGACGUUGAUGGUGUUGGAUGGGUUCUGGAACAUGCCAUUGUCACCAUUGUCUUCAUCUUCCUUGGCCUUGCCCUUGUCUUUGGUGCCAGAUGGCUCUGGCAGGUCCUUCAAUACUCUUAUUAAACUAAAACAAUCUAUUGCAGAGUGCUUGUGGUAUGGGUGCCAUGGAGCUCGUUGAACGAGGGCCUAUCUUGAUUCUUGGACGAUUGCGAAAUUGCCGUGACAAUAUUGUCUAGCUUUCUCUUGCGAUUGUGACCUCCCAAGUAGUUAUUUCGGUUGUCAUUGUUGGGACGAUCAUUGCGGUUCUUUCGCUGUGUUGGCCAUUGUUCUAGUUGUUGUUGUUCUGGCCUUGUUGCGAUUUGACUCGAACCUUUUGAUCCCCCUAUCUUCUUCAUCUGCC